CGGUACAGCAGCCCUAGAGGAAGUGACUACUUCGGUAGACCAACCCUGAUCUCCUUAAAAGCAGAGCCUUGUGCUAGGAAACGGUUUAAUCCAUUAAGUGCCUUCCAUAGAAAAAGGACACAAUGCCCCACAAUGCACAGGGUCAACCAUAAGAAAUAAAACACAACCUGAAUGGGGCAGUGCAAGAAGAGAAAUCCAAACAGCCUCAGACGGAAGGAAGCCAUUCAGGCGACAAGCAGGCUCUUAUCCCUGGCUUCUUAUCAUUUACCAGAGGAGCCUGUGCUGGAAAUGAGAUUCAGAGCCACGACCAGGAAAGGCUGCUUCCUUAAUUGAGUGCCUCCCUUUUGAAGUCCUGUGUCUCCCUGGCAAAGCCUGGAGCUGCCUGGGUCCCCCUGGCCAAGAUCACUCGUGUGUAAUCUCUCGCACACCAGAGGCAGAUGCUCCACGACAUGGAGCUUUUUUGAAAGGCCUUUAAUGAGAUUUCUCAGUCCUCCACGUGGCUGGCAGGCGAAGGGAGGAAGUUUUCAGAAAAGCCUCUGAUCAAAGUGUUCAAGAUUUUCAGCAUUCAGGGGCUUUCCUGCCAGAUAUACCGGUCCAGGAUCUGCAAUUCUGGGGGCAUGCUCAGCACUCUGAGAGUGUUCACUCUCCUGCCCCUUCCCCUGCUUCCCUGCCCUGUCCCCAUAGGCUUAAGGACCACUUCUCUCCAGGUUCCUUCCAUUCAUGGAAAUUGAAAUUUGUAUUCUUUGAGAUUUCUUUAUUUAUUUGGGGCUAUUUGGAGACACAUACGUCGUCAGGAGCUCUAGUAGAAUGUUCAAAAGCUGAAGCAAACACCCCAUUUGGAAUUGACUUGGGGCAAGGGGCUAUUUUAAAAAAUCAGCCAAGCUCACGUGAAUUUGGAGUUAAUUAAGCUCUGAGUCCAAAUAUCGUCUGUAAAUGAGGGCAAUACCAGACAUAAGGACAAGAUCGUCAUGGGAAUUAGAUAAUGUAAAAUGUGAGAAGCCGCUAGCACGAAUGUCCUGAAGGUCUAAGAAAUGUUUAUUAUGAUUUUAUUUCUAUCCCUGUGGGAAGGAGAACCCUUAGCCAACCGACAGACUGUCUAAGCCUAAUACAGAGUGACAACAUUAAGGCAAAAGAGUCAAGGCUUUGUCAGCUGUUGUAACACAAUCACACAUGGCUGGAGAAAGUAGAUUUUUUUCAGUCACAUGAGCGCUGUCCUCAGUCUCGGUCACACCUUGCCCAUGCCAUAUCGCUUCCCCCUUUUUUCCCCUUUGAUGUUGUCCCCACACUCAGCAAAACCCCGAACCAGACCAACCUCAUUGUGUGGGGUUUUUCCCUUCUGGCCCAGAUGCUGAGUUUUACAGAGAAAUCCUGCUGCUCAGAUCAUGGGUUCCGACAGCAGUCGGGGACGUCUCUCAAUGUCCCCAAUUCACAAUGCAAAGAAUUCACGCUGCCCAGGUCCUCUCCACCUUCCUCCUACCUUCUCAGCAGAUGACCGGGUCUUACUGAGCAAACGGAGGCCACCCGGCAAAUAUCCCUCAGCCUGCGGCUCCUCUCGCUCUACAGUUAGCUGCACUUACAUUCAUCUCUCUUCCUUUUCUGUCUACAGCACUGGAUACAUCUUUUCCCCCUUGUGCUCAGGGUUCCAUCUCUGGCAUCCUACCCUUGAUGAGGCUUCUUAAAUUCACCGAACCGCAUUCCUCGCUCUCUCUCUCUCUCUCCCACAUACGCCCCUCCCUCUGGAUCCCUUUCACUCCUGCUUCUGCCUUACUCUCUCUCCUUCCCUUGAGGUCAAGCAUCCCUAAUGUCAGCUCCAUUCUCACUGCACAGUCACUCCUGCGGCCGGGCUCCAUCCUCUGUCCCUCCCCUCUCCCGUGAAUCCACCUUGCUGCUAAGUUGAACAGGCUCUUUCCAGGAGCUGUGUUAUUGAUUUGGCUGCAGCAUUUUCUGUUAACUUCCCGGCAGCACUCCAUGCUGGUUUCCAUGACAGCACUCCAUCCUGGUUCUCCUGCCUCCCCAGUCACACCUCAGCCUCCUUUGUGGGUGGCACGUCCCUGGUUUACCGGUCCCUUACACAUGAACGGUUCCUCCCUGGGUUCUAGCCUCAGCCUUCUCUUCCCUCCACGCAUUCUCCCUGGUUAUCUGAUCCUUGUCCCUGGCUUUAAUACCACCUCGCUCCAACCCAGGUCACCUCCUAAGGUCUAAAGGCACAUAACUGCCUAUCAGACAUGUCUGCUUAGAUGUCCCACAGGCACCUCAAAAUCAAGAUCUUGUCACCAAUUCUCACAUCCUCUUACCUAAACCCACUCUCAUCUCCGGUAUCAAAUUACUCACCAAAGACGGUUGAUUCCACUCCUUAAUUUUCUCUCAGAUGUUUCUGCAGCUCUCCAUCCCACAGAUACUACUUAGUUCAGGAGGCUCUUUUCCAGUCUAGAUCACGGCAACAGCCCAAAACCCAUGUCUCUGUCUCCAGUCCUGUGCACCCCAAUCCAUCUCCCACAUUGCUAUCAGAGACAGUCUUCUCAAACCAGAUUUAAUUGACCCCUUUUGGGUCCUUGAUGACCUUCUUCUCUAAAAACCCAAAGAGGUGGGUCCUGCAACUGAGAUAUGAUCCUAACCCUCCCUGGCUGCAGGUGACUGGAUCAAGGGACACAUGUGAUCCAAGCUGAUCCAAUCAGAUUCUCCUAAGAAUUUACAGCGAGGUCCCGGAAGAUUCUAAACCUUCAAGUCAGCACUUACAUUAAAUGUAUGUUCUC